rnacentral:rRNA from 1 species
UGACGGUACCUCAUGAAUAAGCCACGGCUAACUACGUGCCAGCAGCCGCGGUAAUACGUAGGUGGCAAGCGUUAUCCGGAUUUACUGGGUGUAAAGGGCGUGUAGGCGGGACAUCAAGUCAGAUGUGAAAGCACGGGGCUCAACUCCGUGUCUGCAUUUGAAACUGUAGUUCUUGAGUGUUGGAGAGGCUGACGGAAUUCCUAGUGUAGCGGUGAAAUGCGUAGAUAUUAGGAGGAACACCAGUGGCGAAGGCGGUUAGCUGGACAAUAACUGACGCUGAGGCGCGAAAGCGUGGGUAGCAAACAGGAUUAGAUACCCUG